rnacentral:misc_RNA from 1 species
GGAAGACAGUAACAAAUCUGACUCUGAGAUUUUUAACGUGCAAUCAUCCAUAUCUAUGUGCCUUAAUGUAUGAUUUUUCGUUUUCCUGUAGGGUACUGAAAGGAUCCAAGGUCUAGUUCUUGACAUCCGGAUGCUGAAGAAAGUAGAAUAUGUUGGUCAAAAAUUGAACGGAAAUGAUGUUGGGCACCGGCAACUUGAUGUGAGAUCACUGAGAAUGACUGAUGCUAACUCACAAGGGAGACAGAGUUUAACUGUUCUUGAGCUGUUCAGAAAUGUCUUUUCAGAAACUUCAAAUGUUGUACAGUUGGAAAUCGAUGCAUUUUCAAGAAUGAAGAAGCUGAGAAUUCUACGGCUAACAGAAGCAAAAUUCACUGGUAGCUACCAAUGGUUUCCGAAGAGAUUAAAAUUGCUUCAUUGGCGUGGAUUCCUUUUGAAGUCCAUUCCAAAGGAUUUGCCUUUGGAGAGCCUGGUUGCUCUGGAUAUGAGGAGGAGCAGAUUGCAACAAGCCUGGGAGGGAACUAGGAUGCUCAAGUUAUUAAAAAUUCUCAAUUUCAGUCAUUCUCAUUUCCUAAGAAGAACUCCUGAUUUUUCCGGGCUUCCUAAUCUGGAAAAACUCAUUUUGAAGGAUUGUGUAAGAUUGUUCCAUAUUCAUGAAUCGAUUGGAGAUCUAGAGGAACUUGUUCUCUUGAACCUGAGAGACUGCAAGAGUCUAUCGAAUCUUCCAAGAAGCUUUUGUAAGCUCAAGUCCUUGGAAACACUCAUCAUUUCUGGCUGUUAUGGACUUGCCCUAUCAACAAUCGAUCUACGAAAUCUGGAAUCUUUGAGAACCCUUCAUGCAGAUGAAAUUAAUUACGGUCACGAGAAAUCAUGGGUUGCACUCUGGCAAUCUUGGUCAUCCAAAUUAACAAAAUCCCCAGAUUAUGACAACUUCUCUUUAUAUUCUUUAUCAAGUUCCCUGGUUAGCUUAAGUCUGGCAAGAUGCAAGCUAACAGAUGAUGCUCUAUCACUUGGUGUUAACAACCUCUUCUCCUUACGCCAUUUGAAUCUAAGUGGAAACCUGAUCUCUA